rnacentral:rRNA from 1 species
GACGAACGCUGGCGGCGUGCCUAACACAUGCAAGUCGAACGGAACUGUUUUGAAAGAUUUCUUCGGAAUGAAUUUGAUUUAGUUUAGUGGCGGACGGGUGAGUAACGCGUGAGUAACCUGCCUUCAAGAGGGGGAUAACAUUUUGAAAAGAAUGCUAAUACCGCAUGACAUAUCGGAACCACAUGGUUUUGAUAUCAAAGAUUUUAUCGCUUGGAGAUGGACUCGCGUCCGAUUAGUUAGUUGGUGAGGUAACGGCUCACCAAGACCGCGAUCGGUAGCCGGACUGAGAGGUUGAACGGCCACAUUGGGACUGAGACACGGCCCAGACUCCUACGGGAGGCAGCAGUGGGGGAUAUUGCGCAAUGGGGGCAACCCUGACGCAGCAACGCCGCGUGAAGGAUGAAGGUUUUCGGAUUGUAAACUUCUUUUAUUAAGGACGAAAAAUGACG